AUUGAACGCUGGCGGCAUGCCUAACACAUGCAAGUCGAACGGCAGCAUGAAUAGGGGUAACCUUAUUUGAUGGCGAGUGGCGGACGGGUGAGUAAUAUGUAGGAAUCUACCUAGAGGAGGGGGAUAACUUGGGGAAACCCAAGCUAAUACCUCAUAAGCCCUACGGGGGAAAGCAGGGGACCGCAAGGCCUUGCGCCUUAUGAUGAGCCUACAUCGGAUUAGCUAGUUGGUGGGGUAAAGGCCUACCAAGGCGACGAUCCGUAGCUGGUCUGGGAGGAUGAUCAGCCACACUGGGACUGAGACACGGCCCAGACUCCUACGGGAGGCAGCAGUGGGGAAUAUUGGACAAUGGGCGAAAGCCUGAUCCAGCAAUGCCGCGUGUGUGAAGAAGGCCUUAGGGUUGUAAAGCACUUUCAGUAGGGAGGAAGGGUGUAACGCUAAUAUCGUUGCACAUUGACGUUACCUACAGAAGAAGCACCGGCUAACUCUGUGCCAGCCGCCGCCGUAA
rnacentral:rRNA from 1 species